rnacentral:rRNA from 1 species
ACUCCUACGGGAGGCAGCAGUGGGGAAUAUUGCACAAUGGGCGCAAGCCUGAUGCAGCGACGCCGCGUGAGGGAUGACGGCCUUCGGGUUGUAAACCUCUUUCAGUAGGGAAGAAGCGAAAGUGACGGUACCUGCAGAAGAAGCACCGGCUAACUACGUGCCAGCAGCCGCGGUAAUACGUAGGGUGCGAGCGUUAUCCGGAAUUAUUGGGCGUAAAGAGCUCGUAGGCGGUUUGUCGCGUCUGUCGUGAAAGUCCGGGGCUUAACCCCGGAUCUGCGGUGGGUACGGGCAGACUAGAGUGCGGUAGGGGAGCUGGAAUUCCUGGUGUAGCGGUGGAAUGCGCAGAUAUCAGGAGGAACACCGAUGGCGAAGGCAGGUCUCUGGGCCGUAACUGACGCUGAGGAGCGAAAGCGUGGGGAGCGAACAGGAUUAGAUA